UGGCAGCCAUAUACAUUACUGAAAUG
rnacentral:piRNA from 1 species